GAUGAACGUUGGCGGCGUGCCUAACACAUGCAAGUCGUACGAGAAAGCCGGCUUCGGCUGGUGAGUAAAGUGGCGCACGGGUGAGUAACGCGUGGAUAAUCUGCCCUUAAGUGUGGAAUAACGUACCGAAAGGUGCGCUAAUACCGCAUAAUGCCUGGCAACACAAGUUGUCCGGCCAAAGAAGGCCUCUGUUUACAAGCUUUCGCUUCAGGAUGAGUCCGCGUACCAUUAGCUUGUUGGUGGGGUAAUGGCCUACCAAGGCUGCGAUGGUUAGCUGGUCUGAGAGGAUGAUCAGCCACACUGGAACUGAGACACGGUCCAGACUCCUACGGGAGGCAGCAGUGAGGAAUAUUGCGCAAUGGGGGCAACCCUGACGCAGCAACGCCGCGUGAGUGAGGAAGGUUUUCGGACUGUAAAGCUCUGUCGAGCGGGAAGAAGUGUACCAUGGCUAAUAUCCAUGAUAUUUGACGGUACCGCUAGAGG
rnacentral:rRNA from 1 species